rnacentral:rRNA from 1 species
AUUGAACGCUGGCGGCAGGCCUAACACAUGCAAGUCGAACGAGUGGCGGACGGGUGAGUAAUGUAUGGGAAACUGCCCGAUGGAGGGGGAUAACUACUGGAAACGGUAGCUAAUACCGCAUACCAUCAGAUGUGCCCAGAUGGGAUUAGUUUGUUGGUGGGGGAAAGGCUCACCAAGGCGAAGAUCCCUAGCUGGUCGGAUAGGAUGACCGGCCACACGGGAACUGGGACACGGUCCAGACUCCUACGGGAGGCAGCAGUGGGGAAUAUUGCACAAUGGGCGCAAGCCUGAUGCAGCCAUGCCGCGUGGAUGAAGAAGGCCUUCGGGUUGUAAAGUACUUUCAGCGGGGAGGCGUUACCCGCAGAGGAAGCACCGGCUAACUCCGUGCCAGCAGCCGCGGUAAUAC